rnacentral:rRNA from 1 species
AUACUGCUUCUUAAAAUUUUCUUAAUUCAGCAUCGAGGUCGCAAAAUACAAUAUAGAUAUGAACUCCCCAUUAAAAUUACGCUGUUAUCCCUAAGGUAACUUAGUCUUAUUAUCCUGUUAUAUAUCGGGAUCUAAAAUUACAUAAAUUAAUGAACCUUAAAACUAAAGUUAAUUAUUUAGCAGCCACCCCAGCAAAAUAUAAUUAAAUAUCAAAAAAUAUAUUAAAUAAAACUUCAUGACAACAAAAUUAUAUAAAGUUCUAUAGGGUCUUAUCGUCCCAAUAAAUAAAUAAAGCAUUUUAACUUUAAAUUUAAAUUUUAAUACUUAAAAAAAUAAAAUAUAAUUCUCAUUCACCCAUUCAUACAAGCUUUCAAUUAAAAAACUAAUUACUAUGCUACCUUUGCACAGUCAAAAUACUGCAGCCAUUUAGAAAUACAUUAACCAUAGGGCAGGGGGUACUUUUCAUAAAUCCG